GGCAGAUGCCAAAAAAAGCAGAACAAAACACGUUUUCGUUUUGUCUGCACCAGCCUGCGACAGAGAGCGAGCGAGAGAUGCACAGUGAAAAAGCUGCUGUGCUCGGAAACGGGCCUACAGCCACUUUGGAAGCCUCGGCAAUAAUUCUCUCCCUUCCUUGCCUUCACCCUGCCCACUCUGGCUCGACUGCCAAGUCGGAGAGUUGGCACGGCUUCCCAGGCAGCGCGGAACAAAGCCGUCACCCAUCCCUGAACAGGCGCUGACGGCAGGCUAAGUGACAGGCGCAUCUUCUGCAUGUUAAUCCAAGGGGUGAGGAGGAGAGAGCAAAAUCCACCGGCUCCCCUGCCACCCCGGCACCGGCCACUCCUUUCCAGCCCAAGCCCCGGUGGGCCCUGCGCACAGUUUGGAAGGCAGGAGCCCUGGAGAAACAGAGCUGGCCGCGCCGGCAAGUCAAGCAAACAAACAAGCACAGGAUUUAAAUACAAGCCACCACCCGAGCCAGCAGCACCCUGGCAAACAAGGCCGCUCAGCAUCUGCUGUACCUGUUCCCGCUGCCUUCAUCUCGCCUUGGAACCGUGACAAGAGAGAAGCGUCGCCUCUGGUGGGCUCUCUCAGCCUCGGGUCUGCAACCCUGUGCAGGAAGUUGGCACCGAUCCCAGGCUGCUGUGAAGAGAGGCCGCGGAGCAAGCAUCACAUUUGCAAGGUCUUCGCCAUCUCUUGUGGAAUCCUGCAACCUGUCACAAAACUCUCAUGGGACAUUUCCAUCUCCAGAGCGGCAGGGACAGACAAACACACUGCCCAGCACAUGUACAAACCUCAGUGAGCUUCACAUCUGGGAAGAUGAGGCUGCCUUUGCUUCUCCUCCACAUCCCGGCUCCCCCUUCCCACACUGCAGAGCGGAUUCAUCGCCGCUUUCACAGACGACGAAAGUGACUAUUAAAAGGGCUGGCUCCUUAUAAUCAUCCAUUAAACCUUCUCAAAAUCCUAAA